GGGAGGAAAAACGCAAAUGAUGCGAAGCGUCAUUUAUCGGAAUGCGUUUUUCCGAACAGCCGCCGAAGCCGAAGGCGAGGGGGCACUACAUUAU
ncrna:unclassified sequences GA-cis RNA